CCUACGGGGGGCAGCAGUGGGGAAUAUUGCACAAUGGGGGAAACCCUGAUGCAGCGACGCCGCGUGAGUGAAGAAGUAUUUCGGUAUGUAAAGCUCUAUCAGCAGGGAAGAAAAUGACGGUACCUGACUAAGAAGCCCCGGCUAACUACGUGCCAGCAGCCGCGGUAAUACGUAGGGGGCAAGCGUUAUCCGGAUUUACUGGGUGUAAAGGGAGCGUAGACGGCAGCGCAAGUCUGAAGUGAAAUCCCAUGGCCUAACCAUGGAACUGCUGUGGAAACUGUGCAGCUGGAGUGCAGGAGAGGUAAGCGGAAUUCCUAGUGUAGCGGUGAAAUGCGUAGAUAUUAGGAGGAACACCAGUGGCGAAGGCAGCUUACUGGACUGUAACUGACGUUGAGGCUCGAAAGCGUGGGGAGCAAACAGGAUUAGAUACCCGUGUAGUC
rnacentral:rRNA from 1 species